AAUUCCCGUUAGAUAAAGAGGGAGAGCGGAGGAGGCGAACGGGUGAGUAAUACAUCGGAACGUGCCCGAUCGUGGGGGAUAACGCAGCGAAAGCUGUGCUAAUACCGCAUACGAUCUACGGAUGAAAGCGGGGGAUCGCAAGACCUCGCGCGGACGGAGCGGCCGAUGGCAGAUUAGGUAGUUGGUGGGAUAAAAGCUUACCAAGGCGACGAUCUGUAGCGGGUCUGAGAGGAUGAUCCGCCACACUGGGACUGAGACACGGCCCAGACUCCUACGGGAGGCAGCAGUGGGGAAUUUUGGACAAUGGGCGCAAGCCUGAUCCAGCCAUGCCGCGUGCGGGAAGAAGGCCUUCGGGUUGUAAACCGCUUUCAGGUGGAAAGAAAUCGUUCUGGCCAAUACCCAGGAUGGAUGACGGUACCAUCAGAAGAAGCACCGGCUAACUACGUGCCAGCAGCCGCGGUAAUACGUAGGGUGCGAGCGUUAAUCGGAAUUACUGGGCGUAAAGCGUGCGCAGGCGGCUUUUUAAGCCAGACGUGAAAUCCCCGGGCUUAACCUGGGAACUGCGUUUGGAACUGGAAAGCUAGAGUGUGUCAGAGGGGGGUGGAAUUCCGCGUGUAGCAGUGAAAUGCGUAGAUAUGCGGAGGAACACCGAUGGCGAAGGCAGCCCCCUGGGAUAACACUGACGCUCAUGCACGAAAGCGUGGGGAGCAAACAGGAUUAGAUACCCUGGUAGUCCACGCCCUAAACGAUGUCAACUGGUUGUUGGGAAGUUCCUUCUCAGUAACGUAGCUAACGCGUGAAGUUG
rnacentral:rRNA from 1 species